GAGUUUGAUCGUGGCUCAGAACGAACGCUGGCGGCAGGCUUAACACAUGCAAGUUGAACGCGUGUAGCAAUACACGAGUGGCGCACGGGUGAGUAACGCGUGGGAAUAUGCCCUUCAGUACGGAAUAACGUCGGGAAACUGACGCUAAUACCGUAUAAUGUCUACGGACCAAAGAUUUAUCGCUGAAGGAUUAGCCCGCGUUGGAUUAGCUAGUUGGUGAGGUAACGGCUCACCAAGGCGAUGAUCCAUAGCUGGUCUGAGAGGAUGAUCAGCCACACUGGGACUGAGACACGGCCCAGACUCCUACGGGAGGCAGCAGUGAGGAAUAUUGGACUAAUGGGGGCAACCCGUGAUCCAGCCAUGCCGCGUGAGUGAUGAAGGCCCUCGGGUUGUAAAGC
rnacentral:rRNA from 1 species